rnacentral:rRNA from 1 species
UACGGAGGGUGCAAGCGUUGUUCGGAAUUAUUGGGCGUAAAGGGCAGGUAGGUGGUCCCAAAAGUCUACUGUGAAAUCCCCGGGCUUAACUCGGGAAGUGCGGUAGAUACUCUGGGACUAGAGUGCUGGAGGGGUUCGUGAAUUCCCGGUGUAGCGGUGAAAUGCGCAGAUAUCAGGAGGAACACCGAUGGCGAAGGCAGGUCUCUGGGCCACUACUGACGCUGAGAAGCGAAGGCGUGGGGAGCGAACAGG